GUUGUUUAGUUGAAAAUCAAUUUAAUAAUUUUUGAUUUUAAGUAGUAUUGACUUCAUCAGCUUGCUGCUUUUUUCUCGAAAAUUAUUGAAUGCACUUUUCAGUUAACAAGUCAACAUCAAUUUCUUUUGUUGUAAAAGGGUAAGAGGAAGGUGGCUUGCGCUUCGGCUCAAGUGUUUAUAGCCUUUUACUUCUGCAAUCGGAGAGAUUGAGGUCUGCAGCGUAGACUCUUCGGGGUUAGAUACAUUUAUGCUAAGCUAUAGCCUUGUAUAGACAACUUGUUGACUAUGCUCAGUCAUGUAGCUUACUCGUAGAUGCUAUUUUACCUAC
rnacentral:rRNA from 1 species